GACGAACGCUGGCGGCGUGCUUAACACAUGCCAGUCGAACGGAAAGGCCCCUUUGGGGGUACUCGAGUGGCGAACGGGUGAGUAACACGUGAGUAACCUGCCCUUGACUUCGGGAUAACUUCAGGAAACUGGGGCUAAUACCGGAUAGGAAUCCUUGCUGCAUGGUGGGGGUUGGAAAGCUUCGGCGGUUUUGGAUGGACUCGCGGCUUAUCAGCUUGUUGGUGGGGUAGUGGCUUACCAAGGCUUUGACGGGUAGCCGGCCUGAGAGAGCGACCGGCCACAUUGGGACUGAGAGACGGCCCAGGCGCCUACGGGAGGAAGCAGUGGGGAAUAUUGCACCAGGGGCGGAAGCCUGAUGCAGCAACGCCGCGUGCGGGAUGACGGCCUUCGGGUUGUAAACCGCUUUCAGCAGGGGCGAAGCUUGUGGUGACGGUACCUGCAGAAGAAGCACCGGCUAACUACGUG
rnacentral:rRNA from 1 species